AUGGCGCAUGAUGUCCAAUGAUCAGCUAUGGGAUUGACUAUGUUUAUACCUGUCUGAUAAUGCAGGUAUAUAAAUUAACAAUUUUUAUCUAGGGGCCCAGACUAUUUUACAUUAGUUAUUUAGGCAUUUCUUCCAGAAAGCUUGGGCCCUACCCAAAAGUUAGGACCAUUGCGACUGGAUCCCUGUUAUUUUAUAUCCCUGUAAUGGAAGCACGAUGGGCACACUAACAAAGUCUGCACUCUUACCCUAUGCUACGACCGGAUGUAAACAAUACGUUCGCACAGGGCAUGCGCGAUUGUUAACUCCCACCCAUUUUAUUCGAUUAAAUUCUAGAACAACCUCUACUUUCGGUUUCAAUUUUGCUGACAAGGAACAGUUUGAGUCAACGUAAGUGUUAAUUUUAAUAGCAAUGUCCAAAACUUUGCACUACACGGCGUAAUUUUCAUUACAUAUCGGGUAUUAUUACCGUCAUGGUAGUUUUUAUUCCAGUCGGUCAAAAUGACGGUACACAUUUACAUGUAAACAAACAGAUUUAACUUCUCAGACAAUUUAAAUAAGGAAUGGACACACGGUAAACUCUGUUGCAACGUAAAGUAUAUUCAUAAACCUACUGUUUGUGAAAAAUUGUCUCCGUGUUCAAAUAAAUUUCAAAAACGGGGAAAAAAGCCGAUACCCUGCAACUGAACCUUAUUAUUCUGACGAAUUAAAUUGACUUUAUAACGCUCGUAUACAAUUAUUUAUUGAUCGAUUUUCAUUAUAUUUAUUUUGUAAUACCUAUUAUUCAAUAUGCAAUCACACAAAACCAAGUUUUCCUACAUUCAAUGAAAUUGUAAGUUAGGACGAGCUUUCAAAACGAACAGAUAGCAAUUUCCAACACGCUUAACGAAACUCCAACAUGGCGGCUCAACCUGGCUCAUUUGCAUAAUUUAUUCAUAAACGCAGGAGCAUAGAACUUUCAGUUUGUUAGUGGGGCAGGUAUUAAUAAUUGUCAUUUAACAGUAACUGUAUAAACCUUUUGAUUGAAAUUUCCUAUAAACGGUUAAAACCCCCAGCCCCCUAAAUUUCUUUAUUUUCAAUAUUUUAUAAACUUUAGAAUGAAAAGACAAAUAAACAUAUAUAGUUCUAUAUUAUUAUCACACAUUUAUAAUAAAUGUUCCUUUGUAAGGGUGCAACUAUUCAGCUUUCUCUGGAUUUGAUUCUUAAUUCCAUAUAUUUCGAUUUGAUUAUUGAGGCUAAGUUAACAUUAAUUUUAUAUAGGGAAUACUUUAAAAAUAAUUUUUAACUACACUUAAACUUUAUUUAGGACAGCAAAGAAAAACAUACUGAAUAAAACUUUUAAACAACAUAGCUAGAAAACAGAAACCAUUAUCAUGUUACAUUCAACGUGUUUUGAUUUGGAUAUUAGCAAGAACACGUUGUCAAGUAAAGAAACGCUUAUAUUAUAUAUAAUAUUCAAAUAUAAAACAUUCAAUUAAUAUCAGAAAGUCAAAGUGUUUUUCCCCUACUUUGAGAAUGGUGCUGGUACAAUUAACGGUACCGGACAGAUUGGGAAAAAAUCCAUCGGUUUGACUUAAAUUGGGAAUUUUAUUUUAGAUGCAAAAUAUUUAUUGGGAAUUUCUUUUAUCCAGGAAGGUGAUGAAAAUUUUGCAUAAUUAUACACUUUAAAAUCAUGUAUUAUUAACUUUAAAGCUUAUUUUUGCUGCUUGAGGUUGAAAAAAAAAUUGAUAAUCAUAACAAUUGUACAUAAAUAAUGUUUAGUAGGUGUGAAACAUAAAGGGGAGCGGUGGCCUAUUGGUUAAGGUGUCUGCCUCUCAACCCAGAGAUCAUGGGUUCGAGCCCUACACGGGUCACGACCAUGUUUCUUCAUAUGACACCAGUACUGGUUGGUUCCAGGAAGCGGACUCGAAAGUGAUUGAUAUAAGUUGCAAGAACUUGUUUCGCAAUCGAGCUAAAAUAAAUAUGCAGGGCUUUUUUUUCACAGUUUGGGGAAGCAGCCCAGCCCUUAAUUUUGGGGAAAAAUUACAUGGUAUAUUUGCAAAAGGGGAAGAAAAAACUUAAUGUAAAUUCAAUUUUUGGGGAAAACUGCAUGAUUUUAAAGAAAUUUUCUUUGGGGAAGCAGCCCUAUACCGGCCCCUGUUAUAGAAGGUAAAAAGGCCCUGAUAUGUUUAAAACCUUAAACAUAAAGUACGAAAUGAACUGGGUACGAAUAUCACUCAUGUGGUUUUACUUGGUUUUUAUCGUAUAUCACUUAUCAAUACGGAAGGCUCCGAGACAUGCAUUACUGUUUUUAGAGGUAAUUUUCAGUGUUAAAUUUGGAAUUUAUCAGUCAUGAAUUGGAAAAUUUGCUGUCUAUUUUCUAUUGGGAACGGUGCCGUUUUCCGGUAUCAGUUAUAUAAGGAAAAAUACCGGGUUGUUGUUAAGUUUAGUCAUUGACUAGAUUUCUACCAGAAUUUUUUUGUUUUUACUUUUCUUGUGCAAGUUGUGGUUAUAGAGUGUGAUGAACAUAUUGACUCUUACUUUGUAAAACGCUUAAAUACAAAGACAGUUGCUAAAAAAUAUCAAAAUCUCAAGUUUGUUUUGCCCCUGUCUUGCAUAUCUGUAAUGGAAGAACAGUUAUUAUGGAUAAAUACAGGUACUUCAAUAGAAUGUAAUUUUGGGUACUGUCAGAUCUACAUGUUAGGCUACAAGUUUCUUCUCAUAAUUACAUAUUUAACAACUAGUAUGGCUAAUGAGUACAAAAUUUUGGAGGUGUUACACUACAAGGCAGAAGAGAAUAUUUGUCCUUGCAAGCAGUCUUGAAGACCUUCUGAAGAAAGCUGGUGACAAGCAACAGUUGCAAGGAGGAAGUUUGAUUGUUGUGCUGGAAAAAGAUGUGACAGAAAUGGAAGAAAAAGCCAUCCUUUACAUAUUCAAAACUAAGUAUUGAUGCUUCUAGAAGACCAACAAUUAUGAGAACCAGAUAUUCCAAAAGACACUGUUGUAAUGUUUGGGCAGACACCCAAGAUGCCAACAUGUCAAAGACUGAGACAGAGUCCACAACUGUUACCAUAGCGACAGAAAUUGUAACACCAUCUUAUGUUGUUGGAAAUUAAAUUAAUUCUUGCAGUAGGCCACAUCCAACCGUUUGUUGACAAUCUAGAGAUAUUGUUUGAAGCAGUAGCUACACUUAAACCUGGAGGAAAAGAGUGCAAAGAUGAUUUGGACGUUAUAAGAGCCAUAGAAAGUAAUACAGGAUUCAAACAUGGAAAAGGGUGCAAGACUAGAUAAAUUGUAGUUCUACAUAAGGAUAUUGAAGAAGCUAAUCUGUUAAAGGUCCUGUCAUCACAGCCUAAUACUCCUCCAAGUGAAGCCUUGUUUUUAUUUUUAACAACAUAGAACUGGACAAACAGUAUAUUGUUGGAGACCAGUGCAAGAUACCACUUGAGACAGAUAGCCUCAUGGAAGGGCUAUUCUUAUUGAUAAGCUGGUAUUAUAUAAUGGAUCUAGAAAAUCCCACUGCUUUUCACAACUCCUUGGAUUCAUGCAACAAACAGUAUUUAAACAAGCCUUUCUUAGUCACAAGUCGGCUGGGUAUUUACACUUUGUGGAACAAUUGGAAAAACUAAUGAACAAAUAGAACCAACAUUUUAAAUUAAAUUCAACCUUCUGUGUCAUGGACAUAUUAUUGACUUCUUAACAGCUUACAUUUUACCAUGAAAAAACCUGCUUUUUUUUGCACUUACAAAAACAAAGGUACAGAAUAGCUGUGUGGUAACCAUCAGCUGAUCAGUGCCUUUAUUUUUGCUGCAUAUAUGGUGCAAUCCCUCCCCUUCCAGGCUUCCUUAAUCAGACAUUGAAAUCCUCUUGAUGUCUGAACAUGAAGCUGUAUAUUUUGGCUCUAUUUCAAAUAGCAAAUGUCAAGUGUCAAUAUUUUUCAAAACAGCUAAGACUAUGCUUCUUUUUAGGAACUUUUAAAUCCAGUGAUUUAUCAAAUUAUUAUUCACUAGCAGAAAAGAUUGACUUAAUAAUGCAGUGUUUAAACACUAAUUUUAUUAUUUAUGACAUCAGUAUGUUAUUGCAGACUGUGACAUU